rnacentral:lncRNA from 1 species
CCCCAAUCCUCAGCAACCCUAAACCAGUCGGCCACCAAAACUCGCGCCUACCUAUCCAGCCGGCAGCAACCCCCUCUCCUUCUCACCACCGGCAAAGCCUCCUUUUCUCUACCUCUGUCCCCUCUUCUCUCUCUCCCCCCUGAUUUCUCUGCUUCCUUCUCGAUCUCCCUCUCUUUCAAAGAAGAAGAGCAGGGGAAGAAUAUAGAUCUUGAUCCAAAAUCAAGCGGGAGAAAGAGAGUUACCGACGGCGAGCAGGAGUGGGGGCUGUGUGGUCAGGAUGGGGUUGUUGACGGAUUAGGUGUGGGUGGGAGUUUGAUGUUGGGUUUUUUAUUGGUUAUUAUUAUUAUUAUAUUUUAGCAGAAGUUAUUUCUUAUCCAAGCCCCAAACAUGGCUUCGCAUCUGCUUCAGAGCCUCUGCCUCAUCUGGCUUCCUUCCUACAAAAUUUAUGAGAAAGCGAAACAGAGCUUGAAGUUGAGAAACCUUGCUGGGUCUUUUUUUUUUUUUUUUAUUCAUCAAUUGAAGUUGAUUUCUCUUAUGCUCUUUCCCUUCCUACAAAAUUUAAUUAAAAGUUAACAUUGUUAACUUAGAGUACAUAUAAUGAAUUCAUAUUUCAGUAAUUUUGAUUGAGAUCUGUGGAUCCAAUAGUCCACAGGACUUAGGAAGGAAGAAAGGAUUUGGUUGGUCUGACUCUGAGCUAGGUAUUCAUGGAGCAUGGAUCAAUGGAGUACUCCGGCAAACAACGUUAUUGGAUGUUAGAAAUCAAACUC